CCUUAUUGUUUCUCCUUCAUCUCGGGUUCUUAUCUACCCCAUCCGCCCAAUCUCUUGAUAUCGACAAAUUUGACCUUGGAAACUUAGAUUUGAUUCAUAGAUCUUCGCUAGCAAGAUAAUCUCUCUUCUCUCAUUUUUUACGCAUUAAUUUAGUUGUAUUUUGAAACCCUAAAUAUGUUAUUAGUUACUGUACUAUUUAGAGCUCUCUAGCCGAGCCCAUGUGGCAGGCAACAGCAAGCUGUAGCAGCACCGUCUGUGGGGAGCUAGCACUCUAAUGCACGGCCGAGACUCCGACAGAUGGGCUCGGCUGGAGGCUGGAGCUACGGCUUGCUGCUGCCUACUAGAGCUGUAGAUAUUGGGGUUGAAGGCUUGAAGCCGAAAGUACCCCUUCAAGCCACCUAUUCCUUUCUCUUUCCUUUGAAUCCAAGGGACUAGCCUUCGGCUCCGCUCCUGCAUCUUCCAGCCGGCCCCCUCCCUUCUGCCUCCGGCGAGCUUGCCGGAGAGCGCAGGGAGAGGGGCCUCACCUCAGUAGUUAGUAGAUCGUACUUAGUUGUAGUAGGUAUAGUAGAGUGUCUUUAUGGGUGUGUCCCUUUGUGGUAAUCGCUGCCCGGAGUUAGUCGUCGCCGUCUUCGUCGUUGUCACUGAGGUUUUCCUCGGCAUCUUCAUUGCCGUUGUCGUCACUUCCGAGGUUAGUAAGAAUAAAAUAAAUUCGUCUCCUACUUCUCUUGUGCUUCUUCCUGGGUUGCUCCAUGGUGGAGAGGGCGACAUGGUGUUGUUCCCUUCCAUGGCGGAGAGCCAAGGCAAGAGCACAGUCAGCAACAACGCCGUGGUCACCUGCGGCAACAACGUCAAAAUCAAUGCCAGUUCGAGGAGUGAUGAUGUCAGGCGGCGUUUGUGUGACGAGCGUCCUACUCGUUUGGAUGCUGCCGCUGUUUGCACAGCGCAGGCGGUGCUGUGCGGGCAAGCUGCUACAGGCUGUAGCGGCAGCUCUCAAUCCUCGGGCCGCUCAACGACUUCGCGAGGUCGUCUGCAUCGAGCUUAUUAGGAGGCGCGAUGCCUUCUUCGUCUUCAUCGCAGUUCAAGUGGAAGACGAAGGAAGGAUGAUGCAAGGGCGGAUUUCCUGACGACGGCGGAUGGUUCUCCACGCAAGAGCUGUUCCUUCGCCUGGAAGGACUGGUGUUCAUGUGCUUCACUGUGGGGCCUGCAACAUGUGCUGUGGGGACCGCAAUCAUUUUCUGCUUUGCAUCGUGGCCGGCAUGCACAAAUCUCUAGCGUCCUCCUCUACCUCAUGGCCACACGCGUCCACUUGCCCAGGGUCGUGUCCACUCUCCCGUCCAUCUAUUUUGGAUGGCAUGUUUGUGUUAUGCUUAUGCACAUACACGGUCAUUAGUCCUUAUUUUGACAGAGGCCUCCGGGUUCUUUGUCUCCUUUCUUGUUGUCGUUUUGUGCAUGUAGUGCAGCCUCUGGUCCUCAUAUCCUCAACUUAAGAUGACAAUGCGUACCCGAAACCCGAGUACCCGACGAGUUUUACCUGUUAAAGAGACGGAUACGGAAGAAUUUUUCUACCCGUGGGUAUGUUAAUGGGUAAAAUCUUGUACCCAUCGGGUAAGCGGGUACGGGUGUGGAUGUAUACUACCCAUACCCGCCUACCCGCGGGUAAAAAACACCCGCAUAAAUAAGUAGCCAGCCCAAGUCAUUCUAGCCCAUGGAGCCCAUAAAUUUGGCCCAAAUCCAAGUCAUAUAUAUUGUUGAAUCCUCCUUGGACCCUAGAAUUCACUCCACUGCCCUAUCCCCUUCCCAGCCGCCUCACCCGCACGGCCGCACAGCACAGGCAUCGCCGCAUCGGUCCUCGGAGGCACGCGAGUUGCGCGACGCGACCGUGACUCCUCCUCGCCGCGCGCCAGGACCUCGGUCCCCGGAGGCUUCGACCGCGGCUGGGGGGUUCGCCAGCUCAAGUCGGCGGACGGCGCAGGCGCAGCCCAAGUCAUUCUACCGCGACUGCGAGUGCUUCGCCGCGGACGGUCAGACGAUUGCGAGUGCUUCGCCUCGUCUUCGCUGGUAGCCAUGGUGGAGAACUCCGGGAUAGGACAAGAUGAUAGCCGGUGAAGCUCUUGCUCAAAAAGUGCGAAACCAGCACCUGAAGCGUUCCCUUGGGUAAGCAAAGAUGAUGACUUUCAAGUUCCUUGUAGAUCUGUGCAAGAUUGUAUGUUCUGAGAUGUAUGUAGCAAGAUUUAUGUGUGAUCUGUAAUUGCGAAACAAUGCAAUGCUAGUUUAUUUGAUGAACAAUUCAUUACCAGGUUGUUAUAUCUGUGCUUGUGGAGGCUAAUCUCGGGUCUAUUUUCGGGUGUGGGUUACCCAUCGGGUAAGAAUUACCCGCGCAGGUGCGGGUAUGGAAUGAAUUCCUUACCCGAGUGCGGGUACGGGUGCGGGUGCCGGUAAGAUUUUGACCUGGCGGGUGCGGGUGCGGGUGGCCAGUACCCAUCGGGUACGUACCCGUUGCCAUACUGAUCCUCAACUCCACUAAGAUAGCUACUUCUUUGGCGCUGGUUCAAUGAUUCUGCCUCCAUCUGGGUCUCGGUUCGAGCUUCUUCUACCUCUGGCAACGUCAUCAACAAUAUCUUUCGGUUGUCGGCAUGUUCUUUCUUCGACGGCUCUACCGACCCACUCUUUACCGUCGCUAUGCGCGGUCAGUCCAUCUGGGUGCAUACGUCUUUGACGCCCCUGCGAAUACCCCUCGCUGGCUGAAUUGUCAUCCUCAGCGACUUAGUCGACGCUGCUGUCUUAUAUUUUCUAGUCGCAGAACCUUGCCGUAACUUUGUCCUUCUUAAAGGACCUCUAUGUAUUAUGGCUGCUUUAAACCCGUACAAGCGUUGAUAUCUUUUUUUACUGAACAGCCCUGUGCACGCUGAAGCUAUUCCAGGGGCACGUGGCUCAGCCUGGGAAUUGCAGGUGACGUGGCCAGUGGGAGAGAUCCGGGUUCAACAUAGCUCUAAUAUGUUUAAUUAAUUAAUGUAUGUUGUUGUCAAAAAAAAAAGAGAGAGAAGGCUUGAAGCCAUCGAUGUGUGCCUGCGCUACAGCGCCCUGGAUAUUCACCCGCUCAAGCAGCUUCACGCGGCCACGCCCCGACGUCCUCUCGCUCCGGUAGCUCCAUGCCACCACGCCCUGACGCCCUGACUUGCACGGCUCAUGGCCUGGACGUGGCCUGCCUCUACAAAUCCUGUUUCUUCGCCUCGCCCCCUACGUCCGAGGAGGUCUCGGCAUAACAUUGAAUCUUGUUAGGUACUAGCAAAACAUGCCAUAUGUUGUAACGGAAGAAAAAAAGCUUUAAAACAUUAAUGAGAAGGGACACGUAAUGAUAUAAUUUUUAUUUAUAA
rnacentral:lncRNA from 1 species